GUAGGUGGCAAGCGUUGUCCGGAAUUAUUGGGCGUAAAGCGCGCGCAGGCGGUUCUUUAAGUCUGAUGUGAAAGCCCACGGCUCAACCGUGGAGGGUCAUUGGAAACUGGAGAACUUGAGUACAGAAGAGGAAAGCGGAAUUCCACGUGUAGCGGUGAAAUGCGUAGAGAUGUGGAGGAACACCAGUGGCGAAGGCGGCUUUCUGGUCUGUAACUGACGCUGAGGCGCGAAAGCGUGGGGAGCAAACAGGAUUAGAUACCCUGGUAGUCCGACGCCGUAAACGAUGAGUGCUAAGUGUUAGGGGGUUUUCCGCCCCCCUUAGUGCUGCAGCUAACGCAUUAAGCACUCCGCCUGGGAGUACGGCCGCAAGGCUG
rnacentral:rRNA from 1 species